UGACCUUGAGCCUUCUGAUAAGACCUAUU
rnacentral:sRNA from 1 species